GUCCACACCGUAAACGUUGGGCGCUAGGUGUGGGGCCUAUUCCAUGGGUUCCGUGCCGCAGCUAACGCAUUAAGCGCCCCGCCUGGGGAGUACGGCCGCAAGGCUAAAAACUCAAAGGAAUUGACGGGGGCCCGCACAAGCGGCGGAGCAUGCGGAUUAAUUCGAUGCAACGCGAAGAACCUUACCUGGGUUUGACAUAUGCCGGAAAGCCAUAGAGAUAUGGCCCCUUUUGUCGGUAUACAGGUGGUGCAUGGCUGUCGU
rnacentral:rRNA from 1 species